GACCACAGGAAAGGACAGGACAGAUUCAAUUGCUCUUUCCCGUAUUUGUGAGAAGUCACCAGAAUGACUAUGUUCCUACUAUUACUGACUUCUACUUCCCCUAGCCAGAUCUAAAUGCUGGCAGACUUUGGUAACUAGAGUCUCCUCGCUCUAAUACACAGACACCUACCACACCCCACAUCGCAGCAUGGCUUCACGUCUCCCCAACUCAGUUACUUCAGAACCCACAGGACUUAAUCAUCCAACAUUCAGCCUCCUUCAUCCUUGAGUCCUCUACUCAAGUGAUUUUCCUUUUUACUACUUUAGCUACUGACCAAUAUGGUUAUAAAUAACCAUGGCCUUGUCUUCAAAACAGUGACUUUGGAGAUCUACCAACCCACUCCUCUCUACCUACCAACCUUAUGCAAAACCCUUCAAUGGUAUUCCACCCAUCCAGGGGCCCUCAGGACCCUGCCUACUACUCCUAACUGGGCAGACACACUCCUUCCUCUUUUCCAUGAGUUCACACACUGACUUCUUCCUAGUUCCAUCAACACACCAACUGCCCACUGCCCACUGCUAGAGCAGUCAGCCCCUGGCUCUUACCUCGACCUCAGUCUGAAAUGGCAAUCCUGCCUCCCGGAAUCUCAGAAUGAGGCUGUGUCUCCCCUCACCUUAUAUUGCUCUCUAGGGCUGGAAUUAAAGGUGUGUACCACCCGAUUUCUAUGGAAACUAGUAUGGCUACUGAAAUUAAAGGUGUGUGUUAUUGUGGCUACUGGGAUUAAAGUUUUGUGUUAUUGUGGCUGCUGGGAUUAAAAGUGUUAGUGUGGCUGCUGGGAUUAAAGGUGUGUGUUAUUGUGGCUACUGGGAUUAAAGGUGUGUGUUAUUGUGGCUACUGGGAUUAAAGGUGUGUGUUAUUGUGGCUGCUGGGAUUAAAGUUGUGUGUUAUUGUGGCUGCUGGGAUUAAAGGUGUGUGUGAUUGUGGCUACUGGGAUUAAACGUGUUAUUGUGGCUGCUGGGAUUAAAGGUGUGUGUUACUAUAACCUGGUCUGUAAGGCUGACCAGUGGGACUGUUUUACUCUCUGAUCUUCAGGCAAUCUUUAUUUUUUAAAAUAAAACUUAAAUGCCACUACAUCCCAUCUUACAUCCUCUCCAACUUGCUCUUCCUUCGCAGAUCUCACUUCUGCUCAUCCUCAAAAGUCACUCCCCUCCAAAUCUGAAUCGGAUCACUUUCUUAUUACUCUUCAGAGAUCUGCCUGUGCUUGCCUCUUGAGUACUGGAUUAAAAGUGUGUGCCGUCACUUCAAACCCUAUUUCUUUUCUAUAAAGCACAUUGGUCAGUUUAAACUUGACAUUCUCAAUGUGCCAGUUCAUUCAAGUUCAGCUCUUACAUUAGAUUGCAAGCUCCACAAAGACCUCAUUCAAUACUUCCAUUUUAUCCCCACAGCCCAACACAGUCCCCUAUUCCUAAUAUAAAACAGUCUGUCAGACCAGGCAGUGGUGGGGCAUGCCUUUAAUCCCAGCACUUGGGAGGCAGAGGCAAGCGGAUCUCUGUGAGUUUGAGGUCAGCCUGGUCUACAAGAGCUAGUUCCAAGACAGGAUCAAAGCUACAGAGAAACCUUGUCUCAAAAAACAAACAAACAAACAAAAAAGUCUGUCAGGACAUUUGAGUGGGCUUCUCCAGCUCCAAAGCCUUUCUGAUAUUAAAAAGAAAAGACUGAAGGUGUUAAGUGAUGUCCUCUUCUUUAACGGUUGUUGACUUCUAAGCUAUGGCUAUUCUAGUCAGCAACUGCAACUCCGGCUCUACCAGUUCAGCCACAAGAGGCGAAGCCUGAGGAAACUGCUCCCUCAGGCACCAACUUUUUCAAAGCUAAGAGAAUUUAUGAAUUUAUCUAAAUCUUUGUCCUGCUAAAGAACUUAAGAUUCAAAGGCUGAAGUAGAAUCCUGCUUCCCAGAGAGGCUGAAAAGCAAGCAGCUCACCUAGAUCCUCCUGAGUCUCCCUGAAGUCCUGGUGCUUUUUCUCAGCCCUCCUUAUAAACCCUUCUCCAGAUGGCUCCUCCCUACUACUUCCUGUCAGCUAGUUGCUGAUUCAGUCUCAAGACCACAAGUGAAUUUUAUUUAAUCAAUCACAUCUUUGCAUCAUUAAACAAAUGUUUCAGAGCAUAAACAAAAGGUAACACACAUUAAAACCUGGUGGUGGUGGUGCACAUGCCUUCCAUCCUAGCCCUCAGGAGGCAGAGGCAGGCGAGUCACUAUGAGUUUGAAAUCAGCCUGGUCUACAGAAUGAGUGCCAAGGCAGUCCAAAGCUACACAAAGAAACCUGUCUCGAAAAACAAACGAACAAAAAAUUUUUUUUCAAUAGUCAAGGGGCCAAAAAGACAUCUCUAAAGCCAUCAAUAACAAAACUCUAAAUUCAUGCACAUAAUUAUUUAGCUUAAACAGCUGUGACGAGAUCUCUGAAAUAUGAGAUCUUCUCCAACCUUGGAGUUUUAUGGAAGGGCCGAGCCUGCGAUCCUUGCUAACAAAUCACUUGUAGCCUUGGUCUAGUUCCAUUUCAACCCAGGUCUCUGUAAGAUUUUUCUCUCCCUGGAAAAUGAAACCCCUUUAAAAAUAUUAUGGAUGUGUUUAUUACUUUAGAAUGUAAAUGGAGAAAAAUUAUGAAGAAAGCUAAAAAAAAAAAAGAAA